rnacentral:misc_RNA from 1 species
CAACAAACGGAAGGAGGUGAUCCAAUGUCUUUUGCGAACUCGCAGGUUUCCGAAGGUCUUGGAGUCUCCGAUCGCGUGGGGCAGUUCCCGCGCUGAGCGAAUGGUCCGCCGGGCUUUCCAAGUCCGGCAAGGCCUCGGCAUCCUUGCGAAAUCGGAAAGGGCCGCUCCUUGGAGCGGCCCU